AAUGGAAGAGAGAGAGUUGCUGGCCGUCAGCGGCAUGUGCACGCCCUGAUCAUUAUCCAUCUCACACACCUGUGCACACACUGUAGGUCGGUUUGUGGCUGGAGUGGGCACUCUGUGUCUGCUUUGGUUGUAGGCCUUCCUAUGUUUUAUUACAAACUACUUCAGUUUAAAGAAUGUCACUCCUGCGUCUAACGCAUUUAAAUACAACUUUCAGCAACGGAUCUCUUGGCUCUCGCAUCGAUGAAGAACGCAGCGAAAUGCGAUAAGUAAUGUGAAUUGCAGAAUUCAGUGAAUCAUCGAAUCUUUGAACGCACCUUGCGCUCCUUGGUAUUCCGAGGAGCAUGCCUGUUUGAGUGUCAUGGAAUUCUCAACUCUAUUUGCUUUUGUGAAUAGAGCUUGGACUUGGAGGUUUAUUGCCGGUACACCUGUGAUCGGCUCCUCUUGAAUGCAUUAGCUCGAACCUGUGUGGAUCAGCUAUCGGUGUGAUAAUUGUCUACGCCGUUGCUGUGAAGCAUGUUAAUGGGGGUCGGCUUCCAAUCGUCCUUUUACUCGGGGACAAUGACUUUGACCUUUGACCUCAAAUCAGGUAGGAUUACCCGCUGAACUUAA
rnacentral:rRNA from 1 species